AGCCCCAUUCCUCUGGAAUCCAUACCAUCACUGCAGUGAGUGCAACUUCAACCAUGUCAAUCAGUAAACGACAAAAUCGUGUGUCUAAUGACAUCCGAUUGCCCAACAACCUGCCCACUCCACUCCACUCCAACCCCUCCUCCCUCCUAUGUCUGACCACUGGCUGCUUUCUCUCCAACUUCGACUUCCAGUCGUACCCCUACUCAAGAAACUAACACUUCUCAGACAGGGGAUCUGCUCUAAGAUGCCUACCGUAUCCCUUUUCCUGACCUGGAUCAACCUGAUGUCCUCCAAGAUCAACUACCCUCCAAGAUCAACUACCCUCCAAGAUCCCACUUGUAUUACAUCAUCUACAGCUACUCUACAGCUACUCUUAAUGUCAUGUGGUUUGGUGGUCAUGUCUGCGCUUGUCGUACAGUUUCCAGCCCAGUUCAUCUUUGAUGUCCUCCAAGAUCAACUACCCUCCAAGAUCCCACUUGU